rnacentral:rRNA from 1 species
UACGUAGGGGGCGAGCGUUGUCCGGAGUACUGGGCGUAAAGCGCACGCAGGCGGUCUGCUAAGUUUGGAGUGACAGUUGGUGGCUUAACUGCCAAAGUGCUUCGAAAACUGAACAGACUUGAGGGCCUCAGAGGGACACGGAAUUCCGGGUGGAGUGGUGAAAUGCGUAGAGAUCCGGAGGAACACCAAAGGCGAAGGCAGUGUCCUAGGGAGUACCUGACGCUCGAGGUGACGAAAGCCAGGGAGCGAACGGG